GAUGAAGAACGUAGCGAAAUGCGAUAAGUAAUGUGAAUUGCAGAAUUCAGUGAAUCAUCGAAUCUUUGAACGCACCUUGCGCCCUUUGGCCAUUCCGAAGGGCAUGCCUGUUUGAGUAUCAUGAACACCUCAACUCUUCAUGGUUUUCCAUGAUGAGCUUGGACUUUGGGGGUCUUGCUGGCCUGUGGGUCGGCUCCUCUCAAAUGAAUCAGCUUGCCGGUUUUUGGUGGGCAUCACAGGUGUGAUAACUAUCUACGCUUGUGGUUUUCCACCAGGGUAACCUUCAGCAGUGGAGGUUCACUGGAGCUUACAAAUGUCUCUCCUCUGUGAGGAUAGCCCUUUGAAUGUUUGAUCUCAAAUCAGGUAGGACUACCCGCUGAACUUAAGCAUAUCAAUGAGCGGAGGA
rnacentral:misc_RNA from 1 species